UCAAAUACUGUAAGUAUGACAUUUAUGAUUUAUAGUAUUUGACUACAUAUCAUCAAAUAGUUAUGGAGUCACAGGGCUUUCUUCACCGACAUUUUAGAUUGACUAAGUACAUCUUAAACUCGCUACUCAAAUCGUUUAAUAAUAUUUUUGUCAAUCGCACUCGUUGAUAAUGCAAUCCAAAUAUAAGUUGACCAAAUCAAUUGUGAGGUGGUUGUGCACUCGUCAUUGUUCCUGCAUAAAUACUACCACUUUGAGGAUUUUUGAAACGUGACAAAUGUAAUGAAACUGUACACCGGUAGCUUGCUACGCUGGAAUUCACUACAAAGGUCAAGUGAAAUACAGAAAACACGAGUAUGACCUCAUCGGAGUACAAGUUUUAAGAUAUCCAUCCUACGGGGAACCUAAACAAAUAUAACAUGUCAUUUUUCGAGAGCAAUGAUGGCAGGUAGUGCCAAAUACAUUACUCGUAUCAUUAAGUUGUGUCCAAGAUUCAAAGGAGACAUUUGAGAAUACUUAUAUAUGUACUGACAUCACCUGAAUUGUAACUAUGAACCAACAAAGUUGUAGACAGUCCUCUACGUGGACAUUUCACUCAGAAGUGCCAUAACAAUGACCACAACUGUUGAUUGAACAUAAUUAUGUAACUCAGGAUUGUUGUCAUUGCCCAUCAUUGCGGAAAUAAACCAUCAAUCAACAUAAUUAUUCACAAAAUUGUUUUUCUGCUAACAGUAUAUCAUAUGAAUCCAAUAAAAACAAAAUGAGCCCUUUAAAGGCUUCCUCUGCAAAAA
rnacentral:lncRNA from 1 species